rnacentral:lncRNA from 1 species
UGCAUGCUAGUAGAAAUGUUGCUUGAUUGGUGGUUCAUAAUCUAGUAUGCUUGACAAAUGAUAUGAUGAAAAGUUUAACCCUAUAUGAGACGAUUAAUGUUAAUGUUGCUAAAGAACUGAUAUGAUGAAACUAGUGUUGAUAAUGAGUCUAAAUGACGAGUGGCAUCUAAUUUAGAAAACAAUGACAAGUGGCAUCUAGUGAUAGAAAACUAUGAUGAGUGGCAAUUCAUAUGUGUCAACCUAUGAUAUG